GUAAGUGAGGACAAGCCUUCUGGGUUCCUACCAACCCAGGCAGCCUCAGCUUUUUUUCUCACU
rnacentral:miRNA from 1 species